rnacentral:lncRNA from 1 species
AGACAUUCUGGUCCUCACGGGCCAAGCUGGCCAGAGCUCCAAUCCCUUAUCACAGUGACCAAACUACAUAGAGAAAAAGAGGCAUGAAAACAAGGACUCUUACAAGACUUGCCAAAUGUUAGGCUGAACAAGUGAAAUAGCCAUUUUUAUGGGUUACAAAACAGUUAGACAUCAGUAACGGCAUUGAGUUCCACCUAAUUUGAACCAACGGGAAAGGUCAAUACUUAAUUGGAUUAAAAGAAGAAACACCUGGAGAUAAAAUAGCUAACAGAGGAAACAACAACAGCAAAAACACUUUCAAUAAGUAAAAUUAAUAUCAGAGAGGAUCAAGAGGUUAUUACACUCCUAGAAAAGAGACAGAGACCGACAUGCUAUGGCCUCCGAAGAAAAAUUGAUACACAAAUAAACUGGUCUUUUGCCUAGACUGUGU